GAGAGUUAAUGCCUCCCCGUGCGAGAGAGUUAUAUCACGCAGCACCAGUGCGAGGUCAGCAGUCUGGCUGGGGCUCGGACGUCGCUGCGUGUGCCAACAAGCACCCCGGGCAGCCCUUGAGAGGGUUCCAAAUCCAGGUUUCAUUCUGCAGCCUGGAGGAUGCUUUGACAAUCGCCUUGCGAAAGGAAACUAGAAGCUGCAUCGGUGAUUCCCAGACAAGCCACGGGUUAGAUCACGGAACUCCCCCAGCUGGGAGCCCACUGAUGCAGUGACAAAGGGAGCCCGGCUGAGAUCCUGCUCAGGUGAGGAAAUUGAAGCCCAGAGAAGGAAAACAAUUUUCCAAGAUUGGCAGCAGCACGAAGACGUGAUUUCAGUUUUACCAGUGUCUUUAUUGUCGGCUGUCUACACCCUCAGAAUCCUUUCUUUCUCUGAUGGAUCCUAAUCAAGGAAACAGCGAGAAGCAGGCAGUUUACUGGGGGUGCUCUCCCUGAGCGCCUCUGGUGGAGAAGAUGCUCUGAAGAAGGAAAGUGUGGACACCCCUCCACAUGCCGAGAUGCAGCCGUGGGUGAAAAGAAAACCACAGCGCAGUUGUCGUGAUAAAAGCCCGCAGAGACUGCCGUGCACACCCCAGGCCAGCUGAACCGACGUCGUCCUGGCCACCCCAGGUCUCGCAAGCUGCUGUUCUUAGAGCAUCUUAUCCAAGUCCAAGGGCAGUGGGGUUAUUACAAGAUAUUAAGCAGAGUUCCCUGUGCUCUACAAUCGAAAACCAUGUGCACCACAUUUUCCCAGACCUGAUCUUAAUGUAGAUAAAAGUGAGAAACCCAGAGGGGAGCCUGCUGUUGAAGCCCUGCAUUGUAUGCUCUAAUUUAAUCAUCGUGUGCCGCAGGAUUUCUUUGCAUAAAUUACAACCACAAUGAUAGCAUCACUUUCACAAAAGGUGGUCUCCGGUCGAUUCAACUCUCCAAGUCAUGGCCGGGUUGUUCAAAGCAGAGAAAGGGAGCCUGCGGUCUUACAGAGCUGGAGAAUGCACCUGGGGCUCGUGGUGGAGGCCAAUCGGGCGACACCUCCCUGCUCCUUGCCUAUUCAGCUCAUUUUCCUUUUCAUCUCGACAUCUGCUAACUGCUUGGUUUUUAUUUUCCGGGAAUAAAGGGUUAUUGGCAAUGGGCACCACCCUGGUGUAUGAAGGAGGGGGUUUCUAGGAAGACCCCCAGAGUGGAGAAGUGAUGGAGGGAAACAUCCUCCUAUGAUGCCUCCCCUGGCCUCCUUUUUCUCCUCCUUUCCAUCCCCCCAUCCGUUGGACAAACACAAUUUUUAAAUUAUCUGCAUUUUCAAUGCUCUUGGGUCUUCAUCUGGAAAAGCACUGUCCCUGUGCUGCUCUGAACAGUCCUGCACCCAUGGCCUCCCUUUUCCCAGGCUUAAAAUUGUCUCCCUCAGAACCUUGGAAGCAAGUUUUGUAAGCCCCUCUAUAGAAGGCAGGCGGCUAGCCAGCUGUGCUUGUCUGCAUCGUGGUGGUCCCAGAGAGCUCUGGACAAUUCUUUGAAAGAACAGGGGUGGGAAGAUUCUCAGGACACAGGCAGCUCAUGUCCGUCCUUGGAGAUUUAUUUCACAAAGGACAUCUAAAAUAAAGGUAAAAUUGAAUCUGUGGAAACUGCUCCUGUUUCCCAAUGGAUUGAGUCUAGAGGAAAUGGGAUUUUUUUUUCACAAUUUUCCCAACAGAGUGAUUCUUUUAGUGCCAAAACCCUCGAAAGAGAAUGAAGCUCACAUAUCACACCUAUGUGUGCAACAGCAGGAACGUGCAAUGGAAAAUCCAACGGCUACAAGCAGAGAGUUGAUCUUCAAUAAAGGUUAAACAAUAAAUGAAAACUUCAAUAUUGUCACUGCUGCUCAAAAAAGUGGUGGUCAUCAACAUAUGCAAAUGUGCACUGCCUUUUAAAACCACAGCAAUGCAAAGUCUCAUCUCCUGUCAAAUCACCAUGGGAAUUGUUGAUUCCUGGGGGCGAAAUAGGAGACCAGCCAGCCUCUGGGUGUGUGUAUGUGUACGUACUGUGCAAACACACAGUUAAGCCCACCUGGGCAGCCUGGUUCUGCCUUGUGUCUUCUCGGUGGGGGGAAGGGUCAUGAGUCAAAAUGCUUCCAUGGAAUGAUGGAGGUAAUUUCGAAUAAUACAGCCUUAGAUAUACGUUUUCCUCUAACCUGAUUUACAUGUAUAAAUAGGAAGCACCGAAUGGAAGAGAACAGUGAAAACAGAGACAGUUAUGAAAUGCAGGAAGUACAUCUACAACAGAUGCCUGUUGCUUUCUGCAGAUCAGAUUGUUCUGUGGCCCACCCUUUAGUGCUCCUAAAAGGUCAGGCUCACUGGAUGGCUGGACUAGUAGCCUAAUAAAUCCCUGGUGUAAGAGUGUGUGUGUGUGCCAGUGUGUGUGUGUGCCAGUGUGUGUGUGUGCGAGAGGGUCCCCUUCCGUGUGCUGCAACUGGAAUC